GUCACUAUGUCCGAGCGGUUAAGGAGUUAGACUUGAAAUCUAAUGGGCUAUGCCCUCGCAGGUUCAAGUCCUGCUGGUGACG
rnacentral:tRNA from 1 species